rnacentral:rRNA from 1 species
UACGAAGGGGGCAAGCGUUGUUCGGAAUUACUGGGCGUAAAGGGCGCGCAGGCGGCCUGACAAGUCAGAUGUGAAAGCCCCGGGCUCAACCUGGGAAUGGCAAUGGAUACUGGCGGGCUAGAGUGUGUCAGAGGAUGGUGGAAUUCCCGGUGUAGCGGUGAAAUGCGUAGAGAUCGGGAGGAACAUCAGUGGCGAAGGCGGCCAUCUGGGACAACACUGACGCUGAAGCACGAAAGCGUGGGGAGCAAACAGG